rnacentral:rRNA from 1 species
GACGAACCGUGCAAACGUUAUUCGGAAUCACUGGGCAUAAAGGGCGCGUAGGCGGCUCCAAAAGUCAGGGGUGAAAUCCGGCAGCUUAACUGUCGCAGUGCCUUUGAUACUGUGGAGCUAGAGGGAGGUAGGGGUCUGUGGAACUUCCGGUGGAGCGGUGAAAUGCGUUGAUAUCGGAAGGAACAUCAGUGGCGAAAGCGACUUCCUGGACCAGUACCGACGUUCAGGCACGAAAGCGUGGGGAGCAAACAGG